GGUGGAUUGGCUUAGUCGUUAGAGCAUAGGCCUCGUAACUGAAAGGUUGCGGGAUCGAAUCCCGCGGGAGGCU
rnacentral:tRNA from 1 species